GGCGAACGCUGGCGGCGUGCUUAACACAUGCAAGUCGAACGGUAAGGCCCUUCGGGGUACACGAGUGGCGAACGGGUGAGUAACACGUGGGUGAUCUGCCCUGCACUUCGGGAUAAGCCUGGGAAACUGGGUCUAAUACCGGAUAGGACUCCGGACUGCAUGGUCUGGGGUGGAAAGCUUUUGCGGUGUGGGAUGGGCCCGCGGCCUAUCAGCUUGUGGGUGGGGUGAUGGCCUACCAAGGCGACGACGGGUAGCCGGCCUGAGAGGGGGACCGGCCACACUGGGACUGAGAGACGGCCGAGACUCCUACGGGAGGCAGCAGUGGGGAAUAUUGCACAAUGGGCGCAAGCCUGAUGCAGCGACGCCGCGUGAGGGAUGACGGCCUUCGGGUUGUAAACCUCUUUCAGCAUCGACGAAGCGAAAGUGACGGUAGGUGCAGAAGAAGGACCGGCCAACUACGUGCCAGCCGCCGCGGUAA
rnacentral:rRNA from 1 species